rnacentral:rRNA from 1 species
UACGUAGGGGGCAAGCGUUGUCCGGAUUUAUUGGGCGUAAAGAGCGUGUAGGCGGCCAAGCAGGUCAGCUGUGAAAACUCGAGGCUCAACCUCGAGACGUCGGUUGAAACCGCUUGGCUAGAGUCCGGAAGAGGAGAGUGGAAUUCCCGGUGUAGUGGUGAAAUGCGUAGAGAUCGGCAGGAACACCCAGGGGGAAACCAGCCGCCUGGGCAUGCGCUGACGCUGAGGUGCGAGAGCGUGGGGAGCGAACCGG